AGUUUUUGUGUUUGGUCCGAUUCAGAGGAAGCAGCAUCAGGAGCUGCAGAAGAAGGAGGAGGAUAGAGAGAGAGAGAGAGAGAGAGAGAAGAAGGAAGAAGGAAGGAAGGAAAACAGAACCUGCCUGUGACGGCUUGUCCUGGGAAGUCGCCCAGCCCAGGAUAGAAUUCCUGUGAUCCGUGGCCCAGAGAUUCCCGGGAAUAAUCGAGGCUGGUUUCACUCUCUCGCCCCGGCCAGAUUGACGAUGGGGAGCCAUGAGAAUCCGAUCGAAUUCCUGCAGAAUUAUCUCCAGGACCAUCCCCAAAUGGAGUGCCCCCUUUCGUUACAGACAUUCCUCUCUCCUCCUGGGGAG